AUUGAACGCUGGCGGCAGGCCUAACACAUGCAAGUCGAGCGGAUGAAGGGAGCUUGCUCCUGGAUUCAGCGGCGGACGGGUGAGUAAUGCCUAGGAAUCUGCCUGGUAGUGGGGGAUAACGUCCGGAAACGGGCGCUAAUACCGCAUACGUCCUGAGGGAGAAAGUGGGGGAUCUUCGGACCUCACGCUAUCAGAUGAGCCUAGGUCGGAUUAGCUAGUUGGUGGGGUAAUGGCCUACCAAGGCGACGAUCCGUAACUGGUCUGAGAGGAUGAUCAGUCACACUGGAGCUGAGACACCGUCCAGACUCCUACGGGAGGCAGCGGUGCGGACUAUUGGCCGCUGUGCGAAAGCCUGAUCCAGCCGUGCCGCCUGUGUGAAGAAGGUCUUCGGAUUGUAAAACACUUUAAGUUGGGAGGAAGGGCAGUAAGUUAAUACCUUGCUGUUGUGACGUUACCAACAGAAUAAGCACCGGCUAACUUCGUG
rnacentral:rRNA from 1 species